rnacentral:lncRNA from 1 species
UCCAUGGAGCCCCUUACACCCAACAGAUUGCUUGUUGCUGCAAGGGUGGUGUUCUGGCAUCACAGGGACAUGAUUCCAGAGUUGCAGUUUCAGCUUAGCGGUGGGCUUUCGGGCACUUCAAAUGAAACAGUGAGACUGCCCAAGAAUUUCACUUUGCUGGGUCCAGGGACAGGCUUCACAUGCAGCCAAGCAACCAUUGAAGCUCCUUCACUUUCCCUCUCCUCUGAUGGCCGGCGAAAAACUUACUAAGUUAAGUAUUUUUCCUUCCUAAGCUUAAAUGCUAAAUUCUAGUACCAUUUCAACUCAUAUCUUCUUGCUUUCAAUUUUUGUUUGCAAUGACGGAGUGUGAAGUGCACCUACUCACAGCUGGUGGCCUUAUGGAUUCUCUCGUCUGGAGGGCAACUUCAGAAAAGGGCUUCUUGAUGCCCGAGGAAAAUAGGGCCUUUUUCAUGAGGGUAAAAUGGGAUUCUUCACUGGUUUGCAACCUGGAACCAAAUCCAACGAGAUUUUGGAGAUUAUGGAUGGUGUAAAUGAUUGGGUUUGGGAAAAUAAUGAAACUAACCCAACUGAAUAUGGAUUAGAUUUGGCUUGGGACAUAAUGGGAUGGACAUGGACUAAGAAAGAAGUAAUCUGGUCAAUGGUGGUAGCAGCCACUGACCAGGGAUACUGUUUCUUGUUCCAAGGAAACAUCCCACACUGUUGCAGGAGGAAUCCAACUGUUAUUGACUUGCUCCAUGGAGCUCCUUACACCCAACAGAUUGCUGGUUGCUGCAAGGGUGGUGUUCUGGCAUUACAGGGACAUGAUCCCAGAGCUGCAGUCUGACUUAGCGUUGGGCUUUCGGGCACUUCAAACAAAACAAUGAGACUGCCCAAGAAUUUCACUUUGCUGGGUCCAGGGACAGGCUACACAUGCAGCCAAGCAACCAUUGAAGCUCCUUCACUUUACCUCUCCUCUGAUGGCCGGCGAAAAACCUACUGAGUAAGUUAAGUUUUUUUCCUUCCUAAGCGUAAAUGCUAAAUUCUAGUACCAUUUCAACUCAUAUCUUCUUGCUUUCAAUUUUCCUUUGCAAUGACGGAGUGUGAAGUGCACAUACUCACAGCUGGCGGCCUCUGCAAAACCAAGAUGCUGCGUCUCCUUCUCGUCUUUUUGCAGCGAUAUCAUCACUCCUUGUCCAUCUUGUGCUUGUGCUUGCCAGAAUGAGAACAACUGUGUCAUGUAAGCCUCUUGUAAAGUUUCAAUUCAAGGAUUAGUUUGUCUUUGUGUGAUACGAAUACUAUGGAGUGUAAAUGCAG